AUGUGACCCAAUCCGACCCAGUGAGAUCCAAUGAGAUGAUUGCAGGGAAUGCUGGGACGGAGGCAGGUGGCUUCCCAGUGGACCUGAAGCUGAGACAAUGUGAGGUCCGGAGGGGCUGCAGCCAUUUUACAUCCAUGAAGGAGGAGCCUGUCAGAGAAAGGAGUCAACGUGAAAGGAGCAAGGAGACAGUGGUGUGGGGAGAGAGGCAUCGGGCCCUGAUGGCGCCAUGGAGCCUGAACCCAGUCUUGCAGGAGCCAGCGGUAGCCCUGGACUGUGCAGGAGCUUGAAUCCGAAAUCCCCUGGUUAAAGUUGGCUUUUCUGUCACUUGUAUCCCAACGAGUUCCAGCUGCUCAGAGCACUUAGGGCCCUGUCUGGCCUUCCUCACGACACAAGACAGGGACAGGGGAAGGGUCCUCUGACACGGGGUGACCUCCUCCCAGGCUCGGGCCAUGGACUAGCAUGAGACUUCGGAGCUCAACCCUGGAUUCUGAUGGCCUGGGGUGAAGUCCGGCCUCUCCUCUUGCUCACUGUGCAACUUCUACCUCACUUUACUUAUGUUCAAUUCAGGAACAUAACAGAACACACCUCAUAGGGCUGCUGUGAAAAUGCAGGGGAUUAGACAAGUAAAUUCCUGGUGCCUGUAAGGGGUCAAAUAAUGUCAGCUGGGCUGUCCCUAUGUCCCCAAUACCCAGCCCAGUGUCUGGAGUGGGAGCGCCUCAGGACAUGUGUGACGAGGGUGUGGGAUGAGAUCACAUAAGGGCUGUAAACCCCCUGUGAGGAGGAGGAUCCCAGAGGACAAGGGAGCAAGGGUCCCCUGGAAGGUGUAGGUCAGGAGCUGAUGAUCAAGGAAUAGUGGGAUGAAGAUGGAAAGAGGGAGGUGGGGAACAGAGGAUUGUCCCACUGACCAGCCAUGAGGACAACUGGGAGGGGCUGGCCAGAGUCACAGUUGAGGAUUCCCUAUCACGAAGCAAAUGUACAAGGACCACAGUGGCAUGAUAUGGCAUGAUGUGUUAUGACAUAUCACCCAGUGAGGGAG
rnacentral:lncRNA from 1 species